UUUUCUUUUUUCUUUUUUUUUUUUUUUUUUUUUUUUUUUUUGACUGAGUUUCGCUCUUGUUGCCCCCCUGCUGGAGUAAAAUGGCCUGAUCUCAGCAGCUCACCACAACCUCAGCCUCCCAGGUUCAAAUGAUUCUCCUGCCUCAGCCUCCCAAAUAGCUGGGAUUACAGGCAUGCACCAACAUGCCCGGCUAAUUUUGUGUUUUUAGUAGAGAGGAGGUUUCUCCAUGUUGGUCAGGCUGGUCUCAAACUCCCUACCUCAGGUGAUCCACCCGCCUCGGCCUCCCAAAGUGCUGGGACUACAGGCGUGAGCCACCCUGCCCGGCCUGAAUGUCCUCGUUUCUAAAACAGCAAAUGGGAACCAGUAGCUUCCUUCCUUGCCAGCACUCCCCUGGCUCCCCAGGCUUCGGUCAGGGUGAGACUAGCCAGGGCACUUGCUGCCCAAAUUUCCUGCUUCAGAGAAGAAGUUCUACCAAGCAGCUACAGCAGCCAGCCCUUGCCUCUGCCUGGCCUUGCUGCACAUUCACUGCUACUGAGACCUACACUGGGGAAGGGGAGUACAGAAUCCCCAGCUUCUGCUCUGCAGGGUUGGGGAGGGAGAAUCCAGACCCUUCACAUACAUACUUUUUACAGGAGCGGAAACUGAGGUCCAGGAGAUCAUGUUACUUGUCAGGCUUUUGAGGGGCGCUAAGCUGGGUUGGACCUACGUGUCCGGGUUCCCAGCCCAGAACCCCUCUGUUUAUCCAAAUAGCUGUUUCUCUAACCGAGCUCCUCUCUGUAUAGAGGGAUUUCUAGUAGCCUCUCAUCCCUUCCAAGGUUCUGGGCCAGUUUGUUUUCAACAGUGUCAGGAGUAAGCGCACUGGGGACUGGGAGAAGGGCCACCGCGGGAUUCGGAAUUUAUUUCGUUUUCUUUGCUUCUUCUGUGACCCUUACUUCUUUCGCCUGCCGGCUCAGCCUGUUCGGCGUCUUGCGCAGUGCCUGCGAUCCCGCGUGAGUCCGUCGCUCCCUCCGCGAAAACCUGGACUCUUUCCCAGAAGCCUUGGGCUCCAGCACCAUGCCUGCUGCAGCCGCCAAAGAGCGGGAAGCCACAGGCUCUGCGGGUCUUGGUUACAGCGUCUCUAGUCGUGCCCGGCCUCCUUCUGCAUCUGUUCCACGGCCCGGCCAUCUCCCUCGUGCAGCCCAGAACAAUUGGGAGGAAGCGUUGGCGGGCGGAGGGGGAUGCCUGUUGGGCUUUUCCACUAGUUACUGAGUGUUUUUUGCGAAGAGUACGUUGCUAUCAGUGGCGUCCGCGUCGUCUCUCCCUCUCUUCCUUUUGGUCCCCAUAAAUGAGCUGUUCUCGGCUCUGGGAAAGAAAAGCCCUCCAGCGAUUAUGCGGAUCUAAUUAAGUCAAUCAGGAAACUGCCGGAAAGCGGCACUGGCUUGAAGCGGAGUUUGUUCUGGGGCACAGCGGAACGAUUGCACGCGGCCCUUUCCAGCGGUUCGAGCUCGGCCAGCGCCGGGCUGCAAACGGAAGCCUGAGCUGGGCUUGGGGAACUACGCCCGCAGACUUCUCUAAUUUUAUUCACAAAACUGGACACCCUCAGGGAAAGCGGCAAAGCCGGCGCGAGCCUCCUUCCCACUCUGGACCUAGCUGCAGCUCCAAAGCGAGAUAGCUGUCUAGCCUCAGCCGGUACAGCUCCCGGCCCCUUUCUCCACCCGGAUCUUCGGCUGCUCAGAAGCGAUCAGCUCCCUUAGCCCAGGUGGGAGGCGGGAGACUCCAGAUCCUGUGACCCGCGGAGGCAGACCUCAGACAUGUUCCCCAUGCACAGAAAUGACUGGGGCUCCAGUGUGUGCACCUUCAACUCUGAAGCCCACCUGCCCACUUCAGGCGCUGGCGCGGAGAUAACCACCAUGAGUCUGCCGGGCAAAGUUCGAGAGUGAAUUUACAUCUUCUCUUUCCGCUACUCCUGGCCACUGUCCCCUCCCAGCCCCAUCUCCCCCGCCCCCAGCCCUGGACUAUGUGGUAGGGGAGUCGCUUAAGCACCCAAGUACUGCGCGGUUGUUGAGACCAAGGCGAGCUGCGGAGCCUGUGGGCUGUUGUUCGUGGGAAGAGGGUUGCGACCUCAGGAGAGACCGAAAACAGCGCCACUUGAAACCCGCCGGUCCUGAAGAUCACAGAGUUCCCGGAGUGGUAGGGAAGGCUCCACGCUCUUGAGAGCAGAGGCGGCCAGGGGCAGUGGGGGACGCUUCCAGGCAUCUGGGAAGGAGAACUUCAUGUCUAAGUGCGCUCUUGUGGGUUUCUCGGCCCGCUGGGCCGAGCCUCUCUUUCUCUGUCCUCAUGUGUCUGUCUUCUGGACAACAGUGGCUCUGUAUGGCGGAUUGCGACCCUGAGUGACGGGCGCCUGUCUUGCAUCCUGUGUCCUGUGUCCUCCCCUCCAGACCUCAUGCUUGGUGUCCACAGAGUGGACCCAGGACUGCCUGGAAGGCUUAUCAUUCAGGCCCGCGACUUCCCCCCAGAGUCUGAAGCCUUGCGACCUGGUCGGGGACGACAAACCUGCUCGGGGUCAGCAGCGAGACCCUAGUGGGGAAUGAGGAUGGGUGAGGGUGCGCCUGGGUUGAGGGUCUGUGACUGUAGCAUGGAAAAGGAGUUCAUGCAGGGAUCGCACUGAGGGACAGCCAAGAGUACUCCAGCGGCAGCCUCCCUCCUACCAAUUACACGCCGCCUGCUGGCACAGUGGCACCUCGGGAACAGGACGCCCUUCCGGGCCCUGAAUUGGGGCAGCGCAGGAGGGAGGGUGCAGAGCCAUAGCGACCUGUGUGUACCAUAGACAUGGACAUGCGCUCACCUUCACGUGUAACCCUUCUGAGUCCCAGACAGGGUAACUGGCGAGGCCGUAAGUACCCUCGUGGGGGCGGAAAUAUUGCCGGGUCCCUGAGUCCUCUGGGCAGAUGCAGAGCCGCGUAAGCCUCAUAGAAGCAAAGCCAGGGGAACAGUGGGAGCUCUGGCCUCGCGGUGCGGACGCUAGUAAUGGAUUCCUGGGGAACAGCGACCUCUGGAGGAGCCUCUCAUCCACACAGAGUCAGUCCUGCCUCUUCCAGAAAGAAGCCUUCUGGCCAGCCCAGUUCCUCUUCCCCUCUUCCUGUUCUGAGCUCAUUCUCAGGCCACACUGCACAGCCAACCUGCUUCCUGCCUGCUCUUCUCCAAAAAGACUGUGAAUCCACUCCACCCACGCCUUGUGUUGCAUGCUGGGCAUGCCGUUCCCUGCCCCAACCCACCCCACCCCCCAGUGAAUAAAGACUGAAGUUAUUCAUUCCAAAA